GUAGGUGACAUGGAUGCAGCAUA
rnacentral:siRNA from 1 species